rnacentral:ribozyme from 16 species
AAUUAAAUUGCGGAAAAUGGUACAUCAAAUUUUUGAAAUCUAUAAGUUUAAAUUUAUUUUAGUUUUUGGUUUUCUUGGUUUUCGUUAUCCUCAUC